CACGUAGGGCGCAAGCGUUGUCCGGAAUUAUUGGGCGUAAAGCGCGUGUAGGCGGCUAGGCAAGUCGGGUGUGAAAGCCCUCAGCUCAACUGAGGAAGUGCGCCCGAAACUGCUUGGCUUGAGUACCGGAGAGGAUGGCGGAAUUCCCCAAGUAGAGGUGAAAUUCGUAGAUAUGGGGAGGAACACCGGUGGCGAAGGCGGCCAUCUGGACGGAUACUGACGCUGAGACGCGAAAGCGUGGGGAGCAAACAGG
rnacentral:rRNA from 1 species